rnacentral:rRNA from 1 species
GAUGAACGCUAGCGACAGGCUUAACACAUGCAAGUCGAGGGGCAGCGGGGGAGGAAGCUUGCUUUCUCCUGCCGGCGACCGGCGCACGGGUGAGUAACACGUAUGCAACCUGGCCGUCACAGGUGGAUAACCGGAAGAAAUUCCGACUAAUACAGCAUAACACUCCUGAGGGACAUCCUUCGGGAGUCAAAGGAGGCGACUCCGGUGACGGAUGGGCAUGCGGCGCAUUAGGUAGUUGGUAGGGUAACGGCCUACCAAGCCGACGAUGCGUAGGGGUUCUGAGAGGAAGGUCCCCCACAUUGGAACUGAGACACGGUCCAA